UAAAAGUGUUAUUAUUUAACUAUAAUUAUUAUAAGUUAUGAUCUUUAAAAUUAAAAAAUUUGGCGGUAUUUUAGUCUAUUCAGAGGAACCUGUUUUUUAAUCGAUAGUCCACGAUAAUUUUUACUUUAACUUUAAAUUUAUAUAUCGUCGUUAAUAAAAAUUUUAGGAAAAUUUAAAUUUUUAGGAUUUUUAAUUAGAAUUAAAUUCAGAUCAAGGUGUAGUUUAUGUUAAAGUUAAAAUGGGUUACAAUAUAUUUAUAUGUGGUUUAUUAAUUUAAAAUUAAUUUUAAAAUGGAUUUGAUAGUAAAUUUUUUAUUUUAAAAGAUUGAUUUAGCUCUAAAAUAUGC
rnacentral:rRNA from 1 species